rnacentral:rRNA from 1 species
UUAAGCGACUAAGCGUACACGGUGGAUGCCCUGGCAGUCAGAGGCGAUGAAGGACGUGCUAAUCUGCGAUAAGCGUCGGUAAGGUGAUAUGAACCGUUAUAACCGGCGAUUUCCGAAUGGGGAAACCCAGUGUGUUUCGACACACUAUCAUUAACUGAAUCCAUAGGUUAAUGAGGCGAACCGGGGGAACUGAAACAUCUAAGUACCCCGAGGAAAAGAAAUCAACCGAGAUUCCCCCAGUAGCGGCGAGCGAACGGGGAGGAGCCCAGAGCCUGAAUCAGUGUGUGUGUUAGUGGAAGCGUCUGGAAAGGCGCGCGAUACAGGGUGACAGCCCCGUACACAAAAAUGCACAUGCUGUGAGCUCGAUGAGUAGGGCGGGACACGUGGUAUCCUGUCUGAAUAUGGGGGGACCAUCCUCCAAGGCUAAAUACUCCUGACUGACCGAUAGUGAACCAGUACCGUGAGGGAAAGGCGAAAAGAACCCCGGCGAGGGGAGUGAAAAAGAACCUGAAACCGUGUACGUACAAGCAGUGGGAGCACGCUUAGGCGUGUGACUGCGUACCUUUUGUAUAAUGGGUCAGCGACUUAUAUUCUGUAGCAAGGUUAACCGAAUAGGGGAGCCGAAGGGAAACCGAGUCUUAACUGGGCGUUAAGUUGCAGGGUAUAGACCCGAAACCCGGUGAUCUAGCCAUGGGCAGGUUGAAGGUUGGGUAACACUAACUGGAGGACCGAACCGACUAAUGUUGAAAAAUUAGCGGAUGACUUGUGGCUGGGGGUGAAAGGCCAAUCAAACCGGGAGAUAGCUGGUUCUCCCCGAAAGCUAUUUAGGUAGCGCCUCGUGAAUUCAUCUCCGGGGGUAGAGCACUGUUUCGGCAAGGGGGUCAUCCCGACUUACCAACCCGAUGCAAACUGCGAAUACCGGAGAAUGUUAUCACGGGAGACACACGGCGGGUGCUAACGUCCGUCGUGAAGAUGGAAACAACCCAGACCGCCAGCUAAGGUCCCAAAGUCAUGGUUAAGUGGGAAACGAUGUGGGAAGGCCCAGACAGCCAGGAUGUUGGCUUAGAAGCAGCCAUCAUUUAAAGAAAGCGUAAUAGCUCACUGGUCGAGUCGGCCUGCGCGGAAGAUGUAACGGGGCUAAACCAUGCACCGAAGCUGCGGCAGCGACGCUUAUGCGUUGUUGGGUAGGGGAGCGUUCUGUAAGCCUGUGAAGGUGUGCUGUGAGGCAUGCUGGAGGUAUCAGAAGUGCGAAUGCUGACAUAAGUAACGAUAAAGCGGGUGAAAAGCCCGCUCGCCGGAAGACCAAGGGUUCCUGUCCAACGUUAAUCGGGGCAGGGUGAGUCGACCCCUAAGGCGAGGCCGAAAGGCGUAGUCGAUGGGAAACAGGUUAAUAUUCCUGUACUUGGUGUUACUGCGAAGGGGGGACGGAGAAGGCUAUGUUGGCCGGGCGACGGUUGUCCCGGUUUAAGCGUGUAGGCUGGUUUUCCAGGCAAAUCCGGAAAAUCAAGGCUGAGGCGUGAUGACGAGGCACUACGGUGCUGAAGCAACAAAUGCCCUGCUUCCAGGAAAAGCCUCUAAGCAUCAGGUAACAUCAAAUCGUACCCCAAACCGACACAGGUGGUCAGGUAGAGAAUACCAAGGCGCUUGAGAGAACUCGGGUGAAGGAACUAGGCAAAAUGGUGCCGUAACUUCGGGAGAAGGCACGCUGAUAUGUAGGUGAAGUCCCUUGCGGAUGGAGCUGAAAUCAGUCGAAGAUACCAGCUGGCUGCAACUGUUUAUUAAAAACACAGCACUGUGCAAACACGAAAGUGGACGUAUACGGUGUGACGCCUGCCCGGUGCCGGAAGGUUAAUUGAUGGGGUCAGCGCAAGCGAAGCUCUUGAUCGAAGCCCCGGUAAACGGCGGCCGUAACUAUAACGGUCCUAAGGUAGCGAAAUUCCUUGUCGGGUAAGUUCCGACCUGCACGAAUGGCGUAAUGAUGGCCAGGCUGUCUCCACCCGAGACUCAGUGAAAUUGAACUCGCUGUGAAGAUGCAGUGUACCCGCGGCAAGACGGAAAGACCCCGUGAACCUUUACUAUAGCUUGACACUGAACAUUGAGCCUUGAUGUGUAGGAUAGGUGGGAGGCUUUGAAGUGUGGACGCCAGUCUGCAUGGAGCCGACCUUGAAAUACCACCCUUUAAUGUUUGAUGUUCUAACGUUGACCCGUAAUCCGGGUUGCGGACAGUGUCUGGUGGGUAGUUUGACUGGGGCGGUCUCCUCCUAAAGAGUAACGGAGGAGCACGAAGGUUGGCUAAUCCUGGUCGGACAUCAGGAGGUUAGUGCAAUGGCAUAAGCCAGCUUGACUGCGAGCGUGACGGCGCGAGCAGGUGCGAAAGCAGGUCAUAGUGAUCCGGUGGUUCUGAAUGGAAGGGCCAUCGCUCAACGGAUAAAAGGUACUCCGGGGAUAACAGGCUGAUACCGCCCAAGAGUUCAUAUCGACGGCGGUGUUUGGCACCUCGAUGUCGGCUCAUCACAUCCUGGGGCUGAAGUAGGUCCCAAGGGUAUGGCUGUUCGCCAUUUAAAGUGGUACGCGAGCUGGGUUUAGAACGUCGUGAGACAGUUCGGUCCCUAUCUGCCGUGGGCGCUGGAGAACUGAGGGGGGCUGCUCCUAGUACGAGAGGACCGGAGUGGACGCAUCACUGGUGUUCGGGUUGUCAUGCCAAUGGCACUGCCCGGUAGCUAAAUGCGGAAGAGAUAAGUGCUGAAAGCAUCUAAGCACGAAACUUGCCCCGAGAUGAGUUCUCCCUGACCCUUUAAGGGUCCUGAAGGAACGUUGAAGACGACGACGUUGAUAGGCCGGGUGUGUAAGCGCAGCGAUGCGUUGAGCUAACCGGUACUAAUGAACCGUGAGGCUUAACCUU